GACGAACGCUGGCGGCGUGCUUAACACAUGCAAGUCGAACGGAAAGGCCCUGCUUUUGUGGGGUGCUCGAGUGGCGAACGGGUGAGUAACACGUGAGUAACCUGCCCUUGACUUUGGGAUAACUUCAGGAAACUGGGGCUAAUACCGGAUAGGAGCUCCUGCUGCAUGGUGGGGGUUGGAAAGUUUCGGCGGUUGGGGAUGGACUCGCGGCUUAUCAGCUUGUUGGUGGGGUAGUGGCUUACCAAGGCUUUGACGGGUAGCCGGCCUGAGAGGGUGACCGGGCACAUUGGGACAGAGAUACGGCCCAGACUCCUACGGGAGGCAGCAGUGGGGAAUAUUGCACAAUGGGCGGAAGCCUGAUGCAGCAACGCCGCGUGCGGGAUGACGGCCUUCGGGUUGUAAACCGCUUUCGCCUGUGACGAAGCGUGAGUGACGGUAAUGGGUAAAGAAGCACCGGCUAACUACGUG
rnacentral:rRNA from 1 species